rnacentral:rRNA from 1 species
GAUGAACGGUGGCGGCGUGCCUAAUACAUGCAAGUCGAACGCAUUGAGAGAAGUGCUUGCACUUUUCAAUUUGAGUGGCGAACGGGUGAGUAACACGUGGGCAACCUACCUGAUAGCGGGGGAUAACGAGUGGAAACAUUCGCUAAUACCGCAUAACAAUAGAGAAGGCAUCUUCUUUAUUUAAAAGGCGCUUUCAAGCGUCACUAUCAGAUGGGCCCGAGGUGCAUUAGUUAGUUGGUGGGGUGAAGGCCUACCAAGACGAUGAUGCAUAGCCGAGUUGAGAGACUGAUCGGCCACAUUGGGACUGAGACACGGCCCAAACUCCUACGGGAGGCUGCAGUAGGGAAUCUUCCACAAUGGACGAAAGUCUGAUGGAGCAACGCCGCGUGUGUGAUGAAGGCUCUCGGGUCGUAAAGCACUGUUGUAUGGGAAGAAAUGCUAGGCUAGGAAAUGAGCUUAGUUUGACGGUACCAUACCAGAAAGGGACGGCUAAAUACGUGCCAGCAGCCGCGGUAA